GACGAACGCUGGCGGCGUGCUUAACACAUGCAAGUCGAACGGUGAUGCUCCAGCUUGCUGGAGUGGAUCAGUGGCGAACGGGUGAGUAACACGUGAGCAACCUGCCCCAGACUCUGGAAUAAGCGCUGGAAACGGCGUCUAAUACUGGAUACGAAACUGGCCCGCAUGGGCAUGGUUUGGAAAGUUUUUCGGUUUGGGAUGGGCUCGCGGCCUAUCAGCUUGUUGGUGAGGUAAUGGCUCACCAAGGCGACGACGGGUAGCCGGCCUGAGAGGGCGACCGGCCACACUGGGACUGAGACACGGCCCAGACUCCUACGGGAGGCAGCAGUGGGGAAUAUUGCACGAUGGGCGAAAGCCUGAUGCAGCGACGCCGCGUGAGGGAUGACGGCCUUCGGGUUGUAAACCUCUUUCAGCAGGGAAGAAGCGAAAGUGACGGUACCUGCAGAAGAAGCACCGGCUAACUACGUG
rnacentral:rRNA from 1 species